AAGAGGCUGUAGAAAACAUUUAAACUACGGUAGUCAUCUUUAAUGGUCUGCUGUUGAAUUAGGUCAGAAAACUUAUUUAUUUGGAAGAUUCACUUCUGUCACUGCAACUUUAAAGCGCCUAAUAAUACAGAAUUCAUAAUAGGCCACAUGAAGCUUUUGUCAAAAGAGCUCUUGUUGUAUGUAUCUGCAGCUGCAUGUGGUGUUUUCUAUCUCUCCUACCUACAGCCAUUCUGCCAUAGCUGCUGUAUUUUAAGAUGUAGUGAAUGAAACAGUAUCUGUACCUGUAACUUCAGGCAGUCAAGUACAAAUAGUCCUGAUUUAGGAGGUGCAGAAUGAUUCAGGAUGUGCACCUGAGCAUCCUCAUGCCAGAUCCAGCAGUCUUAAAUUCUCUGGCCUCCAUCUGCAGUUUGCACAGAAUAGCAGAUGCCUGCAUCCCUGUCCAAUGGUUCUGCUGUGGGGUUCAUAAUUGCUGACUGAAGAGCAGUAACAAAUAGCUCUGCAGCAGUUCGGUUACAUCUUUUUGGAGGAGUAUCUGUCACAUCCCCUCAGCUGUUCGUAUACAACACAACAUCCAAAAAGGAAGAUUACCAUCACGUAAGGAAACAUUUAAAGGUCUUGAAAGAUGGCAUAGGCUACUGAAAAGAGAAAGAAGAAAGUCUCCUCUGAAGUUGAUGGCAAGGACAAAAAUUAAUUGGUUUCACUCACAGCGUGGCAUUGAGGCUUUAAACUGGACUCUAGUUCCACAGAUUUCUCAGGAAAAUUAAGUUUUCUUUAAUUCCAAGUACCAUCUUCCCUGCAAGUCCUUCCAACCAAAAAAACUUAGAAAAGCAAUAUUGAGCAAUUGUAAACCAUUUACAAGUUUUCAGUUGUGUUUUAACCACCCAAGUGGAAUGGUCUGGAAUGGUUUUAUUACACAUUUAACACAGAUUAGGGAAGAAGAUUGAAUAGCAACCAGAAUCAAAUGUUAAGAUCCAGAUUUAAAACAUAUAAUUAAGAAAAACGCAGAGUCAUGUUAUUAACUGUGGGGCAGUGUGUGUCUGUUUUCCAAAUCUAGGAAGGUCAAACAUCCAGCUACGGUAAAAUUUAAAAUGUACAGUCUGUUGUUUCUUUUCAAGCUCUGAAGAAAUAAAGCGUGAAGCUAUAUUGAAGAGGCCAGUAAAUUUUAUUCAUUAAAUACCUGUUUA